rnacentral:rRNA from 1 species
UGAACGCUAGCGACAGGCCUAACACAUGCAAGUCGAGGGCAGCACAAGGAGCAAUCUGAGGUGGCGACCGGCGCACGGGUGAGUAACACGUAUGCAACCUGCCUGUAAGCGGGGAAUAACCCGUUGAAAGACGGACUAAUACCGCAUAAUACUAAAUUACUGCAUGGUAAUUUAUUUAAACAUUUAUGGCUUACAGAUGGGCAUGCGCAUGAUUAGCUAGUUGGAGAGGUAACGGCUCCCCAAGGCAACGAUCAUUAGGGGUUCUGAGAGGAAGGUCCCCCACACUGGUACUGAGACACGGACCAGACUCCUACGGGAGGCAGCAGUGAGGAAUAUUGGUCAAUGGACGAGAGUCUGAACCAGCCAAGUCGCGUGCAGGAAGAAUGUUCCCUAUGGAUUGUAAACUGUCUUUUGCGAGGGGAAAUAAAGUGCAUCACGUGUGAUUGUUUUGUAUGUACUCUGCGAAUAAGGAUCGGCUAACUCCGUGCCAGCAGCGGC